rnacentral:rRNA from 1 species
GUCUACGGCCACGCCACCCUGAACAUAAGCCCGAUGUGUGGUCUCAGAAGCUAAGCAGGGUCGAGCCUGGUUAGUACUUGGAUGAGAGACCACCUAGGAAGACCAGGUGCUGUAGGCA